rnacentral:rRNA from 1 species
UACACUCCUGCGGGAGGCAGCAGUGGGGAAUAUUGGACAAUGGGGGCAACCCUGAUCCAGCCAUGCCGCGUGAGUGAUGAAGGCCCUAGGGUUGUAAAGCUCUUUUGUGCGGGAAGAUAAUGACGGUACCGCAAGAAUAAGCCCCGGCUAACUUCGUGCCAGCAGCCGCGGUAAUACGAAGGGGGCUAGCGUUGCUCGGAAUCACUGGGCGUAAAGGGUGCGUAGGCGGGUCUUUAAGUCAGGGGUGAAAUCCUGGAGCUCAACUCCAGAACUGCCUUUGAUACUGAGGAUCUUGAGUCCGGAAGAGGUGAGUGGAACUGCGAGUGUAGAGGUGAAAUUCGUAGAUAUUCGCAAGAACACCAGUGGCGAAGGCGGCUCACUGGUCCGGUACUGACGCUGAGGCACGAAAGCGUGGGGAGCAAACAGGAUUAGAUACCCUAGUAGUCC